CCUACGGGUGACAGCAGUGGGGAAUAUUGCGCAAUGGGCGAAAGCCUGACGCAGCGACGCCGCGUGAGGGAUGAAGGUCUUCGGAUCGUAAACCUCUGUCAGCAGGGAAGAACGGUCACUGUGCUAAUCAGCAGGGAAUUGACGGUACCUGCAACGGAAGCACCGGCUAACUCCGUGCCAGCAGCCGCGGUAAUACGGAGGGUGCGAGCGUUAAUCGGAAUUACUGGGCGUAAGGCGCUCGUAGGCGGUAUGUCAAGUCAAGGGUGAAAUCCCCGCGCUCAACGUGGGAACUGCCUUUGAAACUGGCAAACUGGAAUGUGUGUGAGGAUAGUGGAAUUCCAGGUGUAGGAGUGAAAUCCGUAGAUAUCUGGAGGAACAUCAGUGGCGAAGGCGACUAUCUGGCACAUAACUGACGCUGAGGAGCGAAAGCGUGGGUAGCAAACAGGAUUAGAUACCCUAGUAGUC
rnacentral:rRNA from 1 species